UUUAUUGGAGAGUUUGAUCCUGGCUCAGGACGAACGCUGGCGGCGUGCCUAAUACAUGCAAGUCGAGCGAAUCUGAGGGAGCUUGCUCCCGAAGAUUAGCGGCGGACGGGUGAGUAACACGUGGGUAACCUGCCUGUAAGAUUGGGAUAACUCCGGGAAACCGAAGCUAAUACCGGAUAAUAUUUCGAACCGCAUGGUUCGAAAUUGAAAGGUGGCUUUUGCUACCACUUACAGAUGGACCCGCGGCGCAUUAGCUAGUUGGUGAGGUAACGGCUCACCAAGGCGACGAUGCGUAGCCGACCUGAGAGGGUGAUCGGCCACACUGGGACUGAGACACGGCCCAGACUCCUACGGGAGGCAGCAGUAGGGAAUCUUCCGCAAUGGACGAAAGUCUGACGGAGCAACGCCGCGUGAGCGAAGAAGGCCUUCGGGUCGUAAAGCUCUGUUGUUAGGGAAGAACAAGUACCGUUCGAAUAGGGCGGUACCUUGACGGUACCUAACCAGAAAGCCACGGCUAACUACGUGCCAGCAGCCGCGGUAAUACGUAGGUGGCAAGCGUUGUCCGGAAUUAUUGGGCGUAAAGCGCGCGCAGGCGGUUUCUUAAGUCUGAUGUGAAAGCCCACGGCUCAACCGUGGAGGGUCAUUGGAAACUGGGGAACUU
rnacentral:rRNA from 1 species